rnacentral:rRNA from 1 species
UACGGGGGGGGCAAGCGUUGUUCGGAAUUACUGGGCGUAAAGGGCUCGUAGGCGGCCAACUAAGUCAAACGUGAAAUCCCUCGGCUUAACCGGGGAACUGCGUCUGAUACUGGAUGGCUUGAGUUUGGGAGAGGGAUGCGGAAUUCCAGGUGUAGCGGUGAAAUGCGUAGAUAUCUGGAGGAACACCGGUGGCGAAGGCGGCAUCCUGGACCGGUAUUGACGCUGAGGCGCGAAAGCCAGGGGAGCAAACGGG